rnacentral:lncRNA from 1 species
AGCUUAAUCCAUUUCCACGGGACAAGCUUACACGCGGCUUUCCCUUUUGGGAAACCCCAAGCACUUAGCACAAACCUUAAUUACAUUACAAACGGCGAGACGCGGCCUCCCUUUAUUCUAGUAGUACAGAGGUGGUGGAGUAGCACAACGGUAGUGGGGUGUUACUACUAAUGGUGGCUAAUAUUCCUCAAAGCACUUCCGAGGUGGUGGAGGUCUUCAUGGAGUAUUUGGUGAGUGGAGUGUGGGUGGAGGUCUUCUGCUUCUUCAGUGACCUUGCUUCGGUUGUG